rnacentral:rRNA from 1 species
AUUGAACGCUGGCGGCAGGCUUAACACAUGCAAGUCGAGCGGGGGAAGGUAGCUUGCUACCGGACCUAGCGGCGGACGGGUGAGUAAUGCUUAGGAAUCUGCCUAUUAGUGGGGGACAACAUCUCGAAAGGGAUGCUAAUACCGCAUACGUCCUACGGGAGAAAGCAGGGGAUCUUCGGACCUUGCGCUAAUAGAUGCGCCUAAGUCGGAUUAGCUAGUUGGUGGGGUAAAGGCCUACCAAGGCGACGAUCUGUAGCGGGUCUGAGAGGAUGAUCCGCCACACUGGGACUGAGACACGGCCCAGACUCCUACGGGAGGCAGCAGUGGGGAAUAUUGGACAAUGGGGGGAACCCUGAUCCAGCCAUGCCGCGUGUGUGAAGAAGGCCUUAUGGUUGUAAAGCACUUUAAGCGAGGAGGAGGCUACUUUAGUUAAUACCUAGAGAUAGUGGACGUUACUCGCAGAAUAAGCACCGGCUAACUCUGUGCCAGCAGCCGCGGUAAUACAGAGGGUGCGAGCGUUAAUCGGAUUUACUGGGCGUAAAGCGUGCGUAGGCGGCUUAUUAAGUCGGAUGUGAAAUCCCCGAGCUUAACUUGGGAAUUGCAUUCGAUACUGGUGAGCUAGAGUAUGGGAGAGGAUGGUAGAAUUCCAGGUGUAGCGGUGAAAUGCGUAGAGAUCUGGAGGAAUACCGAUGGCGAAAGCAGCCAUCUGGCCUAAUACUGACGC